UUUAUGGAGUUUGGAAAGUGAACUACUGUCCCAUUCUUGCAUGAUAUAGGAUUGCAGCUCCUGGAUCUCCUCUGUUGUUUUUAAGGCUCACGGAUACUUUUACUGUCCAAGUAAACCUGAAAGAAUGAUGUACAUCACUCAGGUCUUCAGGUGUAACAAGUGCUCGUUUCAUAGAAAAUAAUAAACGAUAAUAACAAUGUAAAGUUUCUACUCAUAUUCAUAAAAAUAGUGAUCUGAAUGGAUGACAAGCUGAGACUACAGUCAGACCAGUCAGCACCUGUACUCUUCUACUCCAGAGCCACACAGUUGGAAUAUGUGCAGACUGUAGUUUGGCAUCUUCAAGGUCUUCCUUUUAUGAAGCAUGUGCUGCAUUUAAACCUGUCUAUAUUGUGUAGCACCUAUUAAUGCCGUGUGCACAUGUGCAUCCUGAUCUGAUAACAUCACAGGUAACAGCUCUGAACUGUGCACUAAUAACCAGCAGGGUGGAGCUUCUCUUCUGCAGAGUAACGGCCAUGAUUUCAAAAAUGAAUAAUAGGACAGUUUUUCCCCUUUUGCUAUUUCCAGCCUUCCAGCUUUAGACCCCCUUAAUGUAUCUAUGGUACUGUUUUAAUCUGCAUGCAGUGAUUUCCACUACAGAGUCUUUUUUAAAUUUUGUGCUGCCUAAACGUCCCAAGAUCACGUCUCUUUUGUACACGGGUUUCUCCAAAAUCUUUGUUUUAAUUAAUUGCAUUUGUUUGGAGAUUUUCCUCAAACUUUUUCAAUUUUUCAUUUUCACGGUUUCAUGCACGGUCUUUGCACAAUAUACUCAGUUAAAAUAUAGGACUAAAUUUUAUUUUUGUCCUUAAAGCAGCUGGACGGAGUUUUCAUUUUCUGUUGAUUUUAGCGUUUGUGCAGCGCGUAUUGUCGUAAACACACUUCUCUGGCUCGCACAUCAGGGCUCCAGAAACUUUUUUGUGAGCAGUUUGAGGCAGCUUACUUUGUUAAUGUGUUUAAAGUGGGAAGCCAGUCAGAGUCUCAUGCUGCAAGACGUUGUCACCGUUUGUGUAGUGACAGUAAUGUCAGUAUUUUCAGUGCGAAAUAAAGUGGAAAAAUGUCCUCUCUGGUCUGAGUGCUGUAAAUCGUUUUGUUGGUGGUCCUGACCGACAACUGGCUCCCGUUUUCCCCACUUUCACUAUUUAGACAUAGCUUAUCUUCACACAGAUGGGCUCUUUGGUUGUUGCAGGUGACAGGAAGUUUAAUUUGAUAAACAAACUUCCUAAAUCUGAAUGAAUUCUGAAACAGUUUUAUUGUGAAGUUGAACUAAAGCUGUUAUUUUGAAGUGUCCUGAGCACAAGUUCAGAUCGAGUCAAAAACAACUUUUUGGCUCACAACUGGUGCCGAGUUUUCAAAAUAUCGUUUAUUGUUCCUGUUGGAUGGAGCAGUGACCCUGCGAGGAAAUGUAUCAAGGUUUAGGUCCUUUGAGUUCCUUCCAGGCUGACUUUGUUUGAACGGUGUCCAUCAGUCCUGGAUUCAUAAACAGUGGUUGCCAUCUUUGAAUGCAGCUUGUAAAGAUCAAGCUAAAGUGACCCUGACGGCAACCAAAAGCCACCGCUUUUACAUCUUCCCUGAUGAAAGUACGUAGGCUGGUAAACCACCACUAAACUCUUCCCUAAAACUGAUGAAAUACCAGGAACAGCUUGUCAAAUAUAUGGUUUACAAGCAUCUCUGGACUGUUGUGAGAACUCUGGGGCUUCAUGUGAUUGCAGCCACAACCGGCUCACAACAAUCAGUUAAACUCGGGAGAUCUUUUUCCUUCCCAGAAGUUCAGAUUUAUGUUAACAGAAGGUGUGCUCUCAAUCCCGAUUACAUGAAACAUCCUUUGUUCAUGUUGGCUGUGAGCGCAGGUUCACCUGUGGGUAAUACAAAGAUGACUGGAAACAGAUUUGUAUGUUUUGACAAAUGGCGGCAGUGAUUUUCCUCAGCAGACAAAACUAAAGUCCGUCCAGAUAUCAGAGGAGUGCAGAGACAUGAGGGGAUAUCAUGCAUUCAAGGAGAGAGAGGUAAACAAAUAAGACUGGGUGGCUUCCAACCAGGAGCCGGGGUCACCGUGCACAGCUUUACAAAAGGAGAAUGAAUCUUACGCUCCGUUCCUGCACUAACUUCCAGAUUUAUUUGUCAGGUUUUAGCACUUCAGCCUUACAUGGUUCUGUUGUUGUAGCCGAGAGCUGCGACUGUGGUUAAAAAUAUCAAAGGCAGAGCGCAAGAACGAAAGCUGAACUCACAAAGAGGUAAAAACGAGCAGACGGGACGCAGGGAGAAACCUGGAGGGAUGCCGAGAGCUUCUUUCCAACUCAAACAGACACUUUGCCAGAGCUCAAACCUCGGCGAGACAUCCAUCAUCACACAGGAACAUUAUUACCAACAUGUCUUCAGAGUUUUCCUCCAUGAUGGCAAAGUAAAGGUGCAAAGUAUAGUGCUUUUCAGGGUGUAAUUACAGAGUAACGUCCAGCCCGUGCUGAGGGUUAAAUAUUCAAAAGGGAUUCAGUCAGAGUGUGAGUACAGGCUGAGUUGGACCAAGUUUUGGGGGUUUCACCUUCAUUCUUCAGCCAAUGCUGUGAGGAGAGGGGAUUUCUGCCUCCGGCUAGGUGUUGGCUUUUUACUUACAACCAGAAAUAUCUAGAAAUGAGACUUGAACUGCCCUUUUAUUGGACAUGUGAGGUUCUGAGGGAGGAUGAAAUAUCUCAUGAUGACUUCUAAAUGUUUCCUCCUUAAUUUGGAGCUUCAAUUGAAGUAUCUUUUUACAGAAAAUCGUAUUAUUUUUUAACCAAAAGCAAACAGACUGAUAUAUGCCCUACUUUAAAGAUCAGUGUAGGCACCCUGUGGUCUAACACAACAUUAUCCUUUACACUUGGAGGAUUCGCUGAAAACACAGUAAAUUUAAGUUGAAUUUAAUAAAAGUUUGGUGGAGUAAAGGUGCUAUAGUUUUUAGGUUUUUUGGGUAAAUGCAUGAUUAUGACCUGUUAAGUCGGAAUACUCAAAGUGGCUGCUUUUUGCUUUAUUCGCUAACUUUUGGAGGAAAUACCAGAGCUGCUGAAUUCAGAGCAUUAUGUUGUUUAUUCCUUUUUAUUCAUUGAAUCAGAUUUCUGAAAAAAAAAAAGUUAAAAUCUAGAUUUUUUUAUAAAGUGUGUAAAAUAAGGACUAAAGUUUGAGGCUUGGACUCGAGUUGCAGACUAACAUGAUUUCAGACUUGAGCUUUGAGACUCGUAGACAGUCUUUUUACUUUCCUUUUUGCAAUAACAACAACAAGAGCUCAAUAUUAUUCACGAGUACAUAUCUUUUUUAACUCCAAGUUUCUUUAUCUUUUAAUUUCUCUUUUUGUAUCUGUAUUCAUGCUGCUGUAAUUUGCUCAUUUCCCCCCGUGGGACUAUUAAAGGAAAUUCUCAUCUUACCUUAUCUCAUCUCAUCUCAUCUCGCCUCGUCUUAUCUCAUCUCAUCUCGUCCGAUCUCAUCUUGUCUUAUUUGAUCUCAUCUCAUCUCGUCUUAUCGUAUCUCACCUUGUCUCGUCUUAUUUGAUCUCAUCUCGUCUCAUUUUAUCAGCCUCACCAUAAGGAGCUCUUUACCUGCUGCCUUAUUGGUAGUGUCCCUUGCAUAUAGACCAUGACUCAGAAUGAUGCUUAAGCACAUUUAUAUGGCAUUUUUAUUAUCAUUAUUUUUUAAUCCAUAUGAAGCUGCUCUCCUUGAGCAAUAAAUGAACAAUAACCACUCACCCUGAACAUUUUCACAUCAGGUAAUGAUGAUGAACGAGUCCCAAAGAAGCUACUACUGCAGUCAUACGUUAACCGAGAUGGGAGAUGUAGUCCACUGGGCCAUUUGUAAGUACACUGAAUGGUCCUUUACUGAUUAAACCCUUGAUUAUUUAAAGACAACACAAAAAUAUAAAGUGAGACAAGUUCAAAAUUAGUGUGUCCCUGAGAUCUUCUUUCUCAUGUGCGUCACUGACCUUUACUCCUCUUGAAAUGUCAACGACUCGGCGACAACAGCUCAUUUCUGACCUCCUGCUGUUCACUUAGUCACCCAAGAAACUUCCAAAUUUGUCUCAUGAAGCGUCUGCAACUCCAGGGCCUGGAGAGUGUCCCUGCUGGACGAUCAUAUGAGUAAAUUAAUUCUCUCCUGGGUCUCUGUGCGUAGUCGAAGAGCCAGAUUUAAAAAUGUGACGUGCCUCAAACACAGCUGCAAAUGCAUGUAGACACACACACACACACACACACACACACACACACACACACACACACACACACACACACGGUAUAUAUUUGAGUAUUCAUUAGUGAGUGUUUAGGUUCAAACGCAGUGAGUCAUAUUUAAACAGCCUCACACACACACGUCCACUGACAGUCACUGGUCUUUCUCACAAUGUUAUGGUGUCCAUGUGUGAAUGAGGUAAUUACACAGUGUCAUUCACAAUGAUAAUGCAUUACGGCUCAUUUCACUCUCAUUACAAACCGCUCCCUCCCCGCUCUGCUGUUACUGGACAAAUCUGAACACAUCCACACCCUAAAACCCGCCGAAGAAGGAUUGAAAUAAAUAUUUUCCCUCAGUGUGAAGUGAUUCACUAAAUUAGAGACGGAUAAUCCCGGCCCACCUUCUUUACCGAUGAGAUAGAUGAUGCAGGUUUCUGCGGGGACUUGUCGCUUCAGCCGUAGAGCGUUUCAGACAGGAGGGACAUCUCUGAAGCUUCUCGUAAUCUAAAGGGCAAAAAUCUGUCCAGAAAGAAACGUCAUCCUCCAAACUUGACCGUACACACAUUUCUCAGCCGUCUUGGUUUACAUUUUAUAAACACAUUUUAGCCGUUUGGCUUGUGUUCCUGCGCAGACGUCAGCAGGGAGGGCUCCAUUGUCUCACUAAAAGCUUUGCACUUCAACAUGUCGGCUGAUGGAUUUGCUGUUUGGGGGAUUGAUACUACAGACCACUGGCUAAGCCAAUACAGCGGUAUUUCCCAAUCCCCCUCAAGGAUUAUUAAAGUGCUCCGCCUAUCUUUCUAUCUUCGCGUCUGUUAUUUCAUAUUUAAAAACUCAGAGAGACGUUUUCACAUAUACGGUUUUGCUGCUCAUUUUCUAAGCUCUCCUUGUUUACAACAAAUGGUACCAGACGUUGUCCUCUGGCUGCAGGAACCACAACAACAUUUGGGCGCGUGGGGAAACAGAAUCCGGUGGAAAAUCUGUUAAAGCUGAUUGUUGACAUGUAUAACAGCCUGAAACGACCAGACAGCUCAAAACAGAAAUACAGUUAUUUUCAGCCAAGUCUUCUCUUUUGAUAAAGUAGGUCAGCAUUUCAGGAAAUAUGUAGAAAGUAGGAAAUAUGACCUACUUUUUUUCCAGGAAUAAGUGCAAAUCAUCUGAACCUUUAUGUAUGUAAAUAAAUAAUUAGCAUAACUUAGCAUAUACCCCCCUAAAAAAGCUCAAGGGUAACAAAAACAUUAUUAAAGUAGUAUUGCUGUGUUCCGGUUACCUCAGAAGUCGGAUGUCAGAGCUGAGAAUGACACUACACCUGAGUUGACGGCGGUCAAGUUAACACGUCAGAAAACCAAGAUGGACACCUACUGUUAGCCGUCUUUUGCCGUUGUUAGCUGUUGUUAACAAUUGUCAGCUGCCGUUAGCCGUUGUCAGUUGUUGUUAGCGGUUGUCAUCUGUUGUUAGUUGUUGUUAGCU